rnacentral:misc_RNA from 1 species
AAUUGCGAUGCCUGGACUUGUGGUCUUCAGACGUCGCUGGUCUGUGGGCUCCGAUGAUCUCGUGGUGCCGGGCGCAUUUCUCCUGACGAUUCAUUUUAUAUGUUUUGUGAUUGUUAGCGUCUCGUUGGUUAUCUUUGAGUAUAAUACACGAAUUUUAAGCGUAAAAUUAUUGUUCUAUCAUCUAAUAGGCUACUUGUUGAUACUAUUUUUUUCAAUAUGUGUAGAAAUAGGUAUAUGUGUGAUCUCGAUGCGUGGCAGCAUUUUGGAUGCCGAGGCGCGCACCUCAAUCAACAUCUGGAUAUAUCUCAAGAGCCUGGUAAUCCUGUUCGAUAUUGCCUGGCUGGCGGUGGGCUCCGUUUGGCUGGGGCAUUACUACACCACUGCACCCAUCGAUGAUCCCAAAAAGGUCUACAUAGCAAUUAUCAUCUGCAAUUGGGCCCUGGUGGUGAUCACCCUCAUUACGAUAUGGUGCACCUUCGAUGCUGCCGGCAGAUCCUGGGUAAAGAUGAAGAAGUACCAGCGAUCCAUGCGCGAAACGGAGUCGCGCUUUAACUAUAAGCGGAGCAACAGUAUGAACCGCAACUGGCGGCAAAGGAAAGUGAUGCGUGCCUACCAGGACAGUUGGGAUCAUCGCUGCCGCCUGCUGUUCUGCUGCAUGGGCUCCUCGGAGCGUAACCGGAACUCGUUUACGGACAUUGCCCGCCUGCUGAGCGACUUCUUUCGGGAGCUGGACGUGGUGCCAUCGGAUGUGGUGGCGGGAUUAGUACUGCUACGCAAGUUUCAGCGUCUUGAACGCGAGGCCAUUGUGCGGCAGCGCAAGAAUGGCACCUACGAGUUCCUCAGCGGCGUACCGAUCACGGAGCGGACCCAGUUCCUAGCACUCAACGAUGCCAAAAACUAUGACUUCUUUCAAACGGUCAUCCACUACAUGUACUUUGCCCAGGGCGCUUACGGCUGGCCCAUGUACGUCAUCAUCAAUCGCAGCAAGAUGUGGCACUUGGUGCCGGAACUGAAAUGCUUUGGCUGCUGUUGCGGCACAAGUGAUGAUACGGAGGUGAUCCAAGACAAUUGCUGCCUGUGCAACUAUGCGGCGCUAAAGAAGACGCUACAGCUGGGCGACAUCGAUAUCGUUUAUGCCACCUAUCACGUGGACGUGGGCGAGACGCCAUUCUUUGUGGCCAUCGAUUACACGCACCGAUCGGUUGUGAUCAGCAUACGUGGUACACUUAGCAUGAAGGACAUCCUUACGGAUCUGAAUGCCGAGGGUGAAGUGUUGCCGCUGCAGCCGCCGCGUGACGAUUGGCUGGGCCACAAGGGGAUGGUGCAAGCGGCGAUCUACAUACGCAACAAGCUGCAGGAGGAGAACCUAAUCGAGCGGGCACUGCAACGGAAUCCGGACCGCCAGACGCACACCUUUGACCUGGUGCUGGUGGGCCAUUCGCUGGGCGCUGGCACAGCGGCCAUACUCGCCAUUCUCCUAAAGCCCGAGCAUCCCACGCUCCAGUGCUUCAGUUACUCGCCGCCAGGAGGUCUGCUCAGUAUGCCCGCCGUGGAGUACUCAAAGUCGUUCAUCACCUCGGUGGUCCUGGGCAAGGACGUAGUGCCGCGCAUCGGUCUCAAUCAAAUGGAGGCCCUGCGAGCCGAUCUUAUCAAUGCGAUUCAGCGCAGCGUGGAUCCCAAGUGGAAGACCAUUUCCUGUUCGGUCAUCUGCUGUGGCUGUGGACCCGAGCCCACUUCCGUGGUCAACAUGUCCGGCCAGGACACGCACAUUAAUCAGUACCAGGAGGAGCGCGGCACUGCACGUUCGACCAGCGCUCAUCCGACGGACAGCUCGAUAGCUUUAACCCUGCACCAGCCCUUAUAUCCGCCCGGUCGCAUCAUUCACAUUGUGCGGCACCAUCCCAAGCCCGACGAGCAAAAAUACGACAGUGGUUGGAGGUAGGCACACACACACACACACAACACCCACAUCCACAUCGACACACAUAUAUGUACACACGCACACAGCUACAAAGCGCAUCGCACACAGAUGCAGAUACGAGCACACACGCAUCCAAAAGAUUGAAAGAUGAAGAGCUUGAGCAGCGCCGCCAAAUGUUCUAAAGAAUCGGGAGCCCGUUUACCAGGCCAUCUGGGCCGACUCCACGGACUUCGAUGAGGUGCUCAUCUCGCCGGUGAUGC